rnacentral:rRNA from 1 species
AUUGAACGCUUUCUUCCGGCCUCCCCCCUGCACGUCGAGCGGAUGAAGGGAGCUUGCUCCUGGAUUCAGCGGCGGACGGGUGAGUAAUGCCUAGGAAUCUGCCUGGUAGUGGGGGAUAACGUCCGGAAACGGGCGCUAAUACCGCAUACGUCCUGAGGGAGAAAGUGGGGGAUCCUCGGACCUCACGCUAUCAGAUGAGCCUAGGUCGGAUUAGCUAGUUGGUGGGGUAAAGGCCUACCAAGGCGACGAUCCGUAACUGGUCUGAGAGGAUGAUCAGUCACACUGGAACUGAGACACGGUCCAGACUCCUACGGGAGGCAGCAGUGGGGAAUAUUGGACAAUGGGCGAAAGCCUGAUCCAGCCAUGCCGCGUGUGUGAAGAAGGUCUUCGGAUUGUAAAGCACUUUAAGUUGGGAGGAAGGGCAGUAAGUUAAUACCUUGCUGUUUUGACGUUACCAACAGAAUAAGCACCGGCUAACUUCGUG